rnacentral:lncRNA from 1 species
AGAGCAGAAGGUUCAAUCUAAACCAGUAAUUAAAACAAAGGCAGAAAUCACAGCAGAAACCUAAUCUCAAUCCUCAGUAGUAAAAGAAAGAAAACAAGUUCUCAACUCUCAGGUUCACACAAGGAAAUCGAAGAACAUACCGCUCUUUUCUUUCCUGCAGACUCUUCUUCUGAUUUUUAUAAUGAUUCUCAAUAUACUGCUUUGCCGCAGCAACUUUCUGUUUUGUAGCGUUUGAAGGUGCAUCAUUCAUAGGGGGCCUGCCACUAUUCUUCACAUUUCCCUCUUGUCCCUUUUUGGCAUGCAGGCCUUGUAUUCCUCUCAACAAGCUCCGCCUUAAAAUCUGGGAAAUUUUUGCUUUCCAAAGACUUGCUCAAUCCAAAGUCCGAGAGCUUGAUAUGGCCAUUACGAGUUAUCAAUAAAUUAUCAGGCUUUAUAUCCCUAAACAAUCAAAGGAAGAAACUACAGUUAGGGUAACACCACACAUCAACUGAAAGCUAAUUUACACACACAAUAGGAAAAAGGUAAUCCCAAGAAGAAUAAAAAAUGAUAAGAUAAUCCACAAAAUUCAAAAGAAACUGGUCUAAGCGAAUGUCAUCAAGCUUAGAUGCAAAAAGAAAUGAGAAGCUUCAAGUCAGUUGUUAGAACCUGUGAACAUAAUUAUGCUUAUGGAUGGACUCAAUAGCCAGGAUUGUCUGUGCAACAUAAAACCGAGUUUCAUCUUCCCUUAAGAUAUCCUUUCGCAUCAGCAGUGUCAUCAUAUCACCUCCAGGGAGGUAUUCCAUAAUAAGAUACAGAUGUUCGUCAUCUUGGAAGGAGUAGCAAAGCUUGACGAUGAAAGGACUAUCGACUUCUGCAAGCACAUUUCUUUCAGCUUUAACAUGUUCCACCUGUAUUUUAUCGGAAAUAGAUUUCAUUGAGUAACUAACUGAAUCACAGCGGAACUCUGGGAUUUGUAGAUAUUGUAUCACACAGUGCAUUACCUGGCCUCUUCGAAGCAUCUCAGAUUUCUUUAGCUUUUUCAUUGCAUAUACGUUGCCCGUAGAUUUCUCUCUACAAAUCCUCACCUGUACAGAAAUAACAUAGUACACCCAAUAAGUUCACUAACGGAAGCUUAGAUUCAUAAGACCGGAAUAAUAGGCUAGUUACCAACAUCCAGUAGGAGAAACCCCCAAACAAAACAGUAAUAAAAUUCCAUAAUUAUAAUGCAUGAGAUAUUAACAGAUCAUGUAAAGAAAACAAGUUAAUAGCUAGUGAGAAAUGAGAAAGAGAUACCUCUCCGAAAGCACCCCGGCCAAUGAUGCUGAGAAGGUCAAAGUCAUCAACCCCUAUCUUAUGUCUUUGCAGACGCCUAUACUCUAUUUCCUUUUUCUCAAAGUUCUUCAAAAUAUCCAUCUUGUCUUCAACAGGAACAUCAGCCUCCGCUAGGUUUUGUUCCAAGAUGCUCAGACUGUAUUCAAGAGCAGAAGGUUCAAUCUAAACCAGUAAUUAAAACAAAGGCAGAAAUCACAGCAGAAACCUAAUCUCAAUCCUCAGUAGUAAAAGAAAGAAAACAAGUUCUCAACUCUCAGGUUCACACAAGGAAAUCGAAGAACAUACCGCUCUUUUCUUUCCUGCAGACUCUUCUUCUGAUUUUUAUAAUGAUUCUCAAUAUACUGCUUUGCCGCAGCAACUUUCUGUUUUGUAGCGUUUGAAGGUGCAUCAUUCAUAGGGGGCCUGCCACUAUUCUUCACAUUUCCCUCUUGUCCCUUUUUGGCAGGGCUUGGUCUCUGCUGCCGUAUCUGGAACCAGCUCCUUGUAGACUCCGUCGCCAUCUCUAA